rnacentral:rRNA from 1 species
GACGAACGCUGGCGGCGUGCCUAAUACAUGCAAGUAGGACGCAGUUGCGAACGGGUGAGUAACGCGUAGGUAACUGCCUAUUAGAGGGGGAUAACUAUUGGAAACGAUAGCUAAUACCGCAUACUAGUAGAUGGACCUGCGUUGUAUUAGCUAGUAGGUAGGGUAAUGGCCUACCUAGGCGACGAUACAUAGCCGACCCGGGAAGGUGGUCCGGCACCACGGGACUGAGGACACGGCCAGACUUCUUCGGGAGGCAGCAGUAAGGGAUUCUCGGGAAUGGGGGGAACCCUGAACAGGCCAAGCCGGGUGAGUUGAGAAGGUUUUUGGGUCGGUAAGCUCUGUUGUUAAGGGAGCGGGACUUAACCAGAAAGGGACGGCUAACUACGUGCCAGCAGCCGCGGUAAUUC